AAUGUAUUAACUUUGAUUCAUUUUUUAGUACACAUUUAUGAAGGUAUAACAUGCUUUUAUUGUGCAAUAUAUUUGCUUUGAGGCCUGUCUGUUUACCAGAAGAAGAGAAUAUGAAUAGGUUCUGUGUAUGAGUAUCAGGAGAACUUUCAAGGCCAGUCCGAGGCAGUGGGAAAGAACAGAAACUCCGGUUCACAUGCAGCUGGAGAAAAUAAUGAGGGAAGAUAGUUAUUAGGGAGUAAGAUAGCGAUAGGAUGUGUGCGUCAUUCAUUGUGUGACUUUGUAUAAUCUGUGUUCUAACUUUAAUAAAACUAGCCUGAGCGGGAGAGAGAGCGAGAGUUGUUGCCCGGAAUCGGCAGGUGUACCAUCUCUCCCCUUUGCAAAGGUGAAACUGAAAUUCUGCGUCCAUGGCUGAGUUAUUAUUUUAAAGUCCUGCACAACGAAUUAACGAACCCGGGGAAGCAGACGGCUUCAACAUUUGGGGGCUCGGUCCGGGAUUCGGGGUGACAGGCAGAAUUGGACUUCAGAUUGGAUCGAAAGGACGAGGGACACUGGCUGGCCACAACAAAACAAGGUAGGCAGAACCUGAAUCUGCAUUUUCGGCUUAGAAAAAUAGUCUAAAUUAAGUGUCCCAAGUCUCAGUAGAACUAAAUCUGCUAAAUUAAUGCUUUGGAGUGCCUUGGAGCAGUACUGAAAAAGUGUGGUUCAGAAAUGUAUUGAGAAUUUUGAAAAAAAAAGAGAGAAAAGAAAAGAGAACGAGACCAGGCAAAAAUAGUUCUGACAUAAAAUAACAGAAAUAGAGGAAGACCUGUGAGUUCGGAAAUCUAACGGUGUUUCUCGAGCGUGGCGGCUCACUGCGGUUCUCGACGGGGGACCGUCUUUUUGCUGGGUUAGAGGCCCGAGAAGUUGAGAAAUCUCGAAUUCUACAUAAAAGGUUGAGCGAGAUCAGGCAACACACAUUGAAUGGAUGCGGAGAUGACAGAGUGACUCUGUGAAGCUCCGAUUACAGACGAAAUAAAGUUCUGAUAUAACAUUACAGAACUAAGAACAGAGUAAAAUAUAAGUUGUGCGGAUAACACAACAAGAAAAAGUCCUGUGAGCUUUAAUUAUUUUUUUUUAAACAAACCGUGACCUGACGUAGAAACAGGGAGACCGGUUUAUGAGCCGUGAGCUGGACACACACACACCCAGCGAGAAUCGGACAGGGAAUAAAAAUAAAGAUAAAAUGAAUGAGCUGUUGGCUGAACACACAAUCAGCUAUGACAGACUUUUGUUAAAAAAAAAAAAAAAACAGUUUGAAUGUUGAGUGCUUGACUGGGGGAGAACGCCAAAACGCGAGCGAUCCCCAUUUGCUGCGGGUUUGCAUGAGCCAUAAUAUUAAACAGCAGGACCCACUCUGAUCAAAUUUAACAUUUAGCUACAUGGGUAAAAUAAUACAAUUCAGGUUUAAGAGGUGACUUAACAAACAGAAAAUAGCUAAAAUUACAGGAAGCUAUCAUUAAUAAAUAGGGAAAUCUAAAGGGAAAUACAGAGCAACACUCUGGGAGUUUUUUAGAACAAGGAGUUUUCAUAUAAAAAAAAAAAAAAGAGAGAGACGUCUCGCAGAACACUACGCGCAAGCUGUCUGUCUGUCUGUCUUGUACAACAUAUUGUGGCUGUUGAAAUGAGAUAAUUUUGUUUGAGUGAGUGGGGGAGAGACUGCUUGGAUCCGCGGAGAUUGAUGUCUGUGCGCUAAUGGGUUUUUGUGUGUAAGUCUGUGUGUGUAGAUUUGUGCCUAUGACAGAGCUGAGAAUAGCAACUGAAGCGUAAGAGAAUUACGCUGCAUUUGAUCAGGAUAUUAGUGAAAAUAAAUAGAAUUGUGCAGCAUGGAUAUCAAUGAGAUGACAGAUCGAUGUAUUUGUGGCUUUUUUGGCGCAACAAAGCGUUCUGAGUGCAACCAGCAGUUAGUCGAAAAAAAAAAACGGAACUUUAGAAGCGCAUCGUUUCGCGGGGGAAACAUUUUAGUAACGGACCGGAUAGAAGAUUAUCUCGGCUAGUGGGGGAAAAUGACUAAAAAAAGCCGUGAAACGUAAUGAGAUAAAAGAUGACAGGCGAGUGGCGAGAUGUUGAACCUUGUUUCUGCGGAGGCGCGGCGUCGGACAGCCGGUCUGUUGGUUGCUGAACGUGGAAGCAGAUGGCUUGGUGGUCAGUGUGGCGUCGAGUAUUGAACCCAGGGCGUGAUGGAUGAGUGUUUGGAGCUGAUAUGGUGGACAUGUUAAAGCACCCAUCGACAUACAAUUGUGAUUGUCCUGGACAUUGGACAACUGUGGGCUGUUUCACCUCACCAGCAGGUCAACCUGGUAUGAAGCAACCAAGUCCUGACAUGACCUCACCUCUACAAGGUCAGUACCCCUGCAAGGGGAUAACUCGUCUGAUGACACACCCCUGAGCAUGGCCAGCUGCAUGAGCACUGCAGACUCCGAGCUGUCAACGGAAAAGACUGCAUGAACUUUUGGUGGACACUGGAGCCACAUAUGGGCCUCUGAGUUGUGGACUAAGACUGUCACUGAAUAUGAUACUGAGAGAAGAAACAGUGUCUGCCGUUGUGAUCUGAGGGGGAGAAAGCAUUGCUAGCAUCUAUGGAGGACUGAGAACAGAGCCUGCUACAACUGGUGUUCUCUCCAGCUAUGGAAGAUGCAACGUCUGGGUUCCUGCUCUUCCUCCCACCUGACCUGCCACACGUCACUCUGUUCUACGACAGCAACCGCACAGACUGGUAUCAUGAUUCUUUAAGGUAAAACACAGACAGUCAUUCUAGGAAUAUGCAUGUGGCACCUGAGCAUUUGGCAGCUGCUACUGCUGAACAAUUUAUAACGAUAUAUGAUGUCGGAUGAAACGAUUUCACACAUUUCUCUUUCUCUCCAUGUUGAGCACCAGAAAGAAGUAGGGGCGUGGUUAAACAUUCCCUUCAGGCAACUGAUUGGGCUCCUACCAGCGUGCAGGUUUGUUGUUUUAAAAUAUACUCAUACCUUUUAAAUUAUCUGUGAUGUAACUGAUAAGUUUAUUUCAAACAUGAGUUUGAAGUGUUACCAUGGCCGGGAACGUACUGAUCAUCAUUAAUCAGCAGAAGGUCCACGGAGGUGGGAAUACUUUCAUGUGUUCCACUUACAUUUAAGGUUAGUAAAGAUAAAAUAGCAAUUUGCCAAGGAACGUGUCUUUCCUGGGCUGUGUUAUUUUCCGCAGGAACAACCAAUGUGUCCUCCAAUAACAAGCAAAGCGUUCUAACAAACCCAAACUACAGCGCGCGGAAGACACAUUAUAGUUUUGGGACUAAAUGGCUGCUGUGACAACUACAUGGUGGGUACGUUGAUCUCACGCAACCUUUGAGGGACUUCGUGAAAAUAUCAGGUAUGAUAAAGUUGAAUAAGAUUUUGAUUUGGAUUCAGGAUUCGAGGAAAUUUUUAUUUUCUUUCUUCCUACUUCACCAAAGAUUACCCUAUGCAGUUGAAUUGACUUUUAUUGACGUCUUCUUAUGUAAUGAUUCUGCAGAACAGAGUUAUUCCUUUAAACUGGAUUUAAUGGAAGACAGGUGAACAUAAACAGGAUCCAAAUAGAGGUAAGGCAGACAUCCAAACAAGCUGGACGGGAACUGGCGAACACACUGGGCAGAGUAAACAGAAACAGGUAAUCCAAAACAGAAUCAAGGUGCCGGGGCUCUUACCAAAACAGAGAGUGUAAACGAGGAGGAACAGGAGCAUGGGCAUGUGAGUGUGACGGACCAACAAAUAACUGAGGAGCAAGUGAGGCUUAAAUAAACAGGCGAACAGGUGAGCAGAGGGAACUAAUUAACCAUAGGACGGUGGAAGCAAUAACGAUGCUGACAGAAGAAUAAACCUAAGACUGAGGAUAACACAAAGCACAGAACACAGAUAAGGACUAAUACAAAGACCGGAAAACUUAAAACCAUAAACAGACUAAACAGGAACCUAAAACAAGAUAGAACCUACAAAAGAAAUAAAACCAGAGGCAGGAGAGAACUAACUUCACCAAACAAUAAACCUAGACAAAAACAGAACGUUACAUUUUACUGUUGUUUCUGGAAUAAAACUAGUUUGAUUCCAAAAGGGGGAUGUACAUAUCAGUAAAUGUUAGU